rfam:Aspergillus clavatus NRRL 1 1099423829824 genomic scaffold, whole genome shotgun sequence.
AACUUUCAACAACGGAUCUCUUGGUUCCGGCAUCGAUGAAGAACGCAGCGAAAUGCGAUAACUAAUGUGAAUUGCAGAAUUCAGUGAAUCAUCGAGUCUUUGAACGCACAUUGCGCCCCCUGGUAUUCCGGGGGGCAUGCCUGUCCGAGCGUCA